rnacentral:rRNA from 1 species
AUUGAACGCUGGCGGCAGGCCUAACACAUGCAAGUCGAGCGAGCGGCGGACGGGUGAGUAAUGUAUGGGGACUGCCCGUUAGAGGGGGAUAACUACUGGAAACGGUAGCUAAUACCGCAUACUAUCGGAUAACCCAUAUGUGAUUCGCUAGUAGGUGAGGUAAUGGCUCACCUAGGCGACGAUCUCUAGCUGGUCUGAGAGGAUGAUCAGCAACACUGGAGCUGAGACACGUCCCAGACUCCUACGGAGGCAGCAGGGGGGAAUAUUGCACAAUGGGCGCAAGCCUGAUACAGCCAUGCCGCGUGUAUGAAGAAGGCCUUAGGGUUGUAAAGUACUUUCAGCAGGGAGGCGUUACCCGCAGAAGAAGCACCGGCUAACUCCGUGCCAGCAGCCGCGGUAAUUC